rnacentral:rRNA from 1 species
UACGUAGGUGGCGAGCGUUAUCCGGAAUUAUUGGGCGUAAAGGGUGCGCAGGCGGCAAGAAAAGCUUAAGGUGAAAGCGUGGGGCUCAACCCCAUAAAGCCUUAGGAACUAGCUUGCUAGAGUGCAGGAGAGGGCGAUGGAACUCCAUGUGUAGCGGUAAAAUGCGUAAAUAUAUGUAAGAACACCGGUGGCGAAGGCGGCUUGCUGGGCCUGUACUGACAUUGAGGCACGAAAGCGUGGGGAGCAAACAGG